rnacentral:lncRNA from 1 species
UGGAUCUUUUCCCAGUAAUCAGAUAUCAUCUGAGAGGAAUGACCCUUGAGUCCAGCAAUCUUGGAACUCUGAUCGUGCAAAACAACCUUCAUUCUUUCUCUUCUCCCCCAAAGAGAUGUAUAUAUUGUGUUCUGUGCAAGCAAUCCAGUGCGGUUCACUGUUCCCAGCAGAGCCUCUGUUUCCUCCUCGACACAUGCCCGGAGACAGGAGAGCCAAUCAGAGAGAGCGAGGGAGGGGCCUCUGCACCAUAUGUUGAACCAAGCUGGUUUCCUGAACAACCACACAGCUCUAGGCCGGAUGUCUCAUGUCACACAGUUCUCUCUGUGCACUAGGCCAGCUGUGCCCUUUCCUGCCCUCUUGGCUUCUCCCCUUGUUUUGCAAUAAAGGUG